rnacentral:lncRNA from 1 species
AUGUUUGGUGUUUCUUCCAUCAAUCAUCCGGAUCUACGCCGUAUAUCAACAGAUUAUGGUUUCGAGGGUCAUCCAUUACGAAAAGACCUUCCUCUGAGUGGAUAUGUAGAAGUACGCUAUGAUGAUCCAGAGAAACGUGUGGUUUCUGAACCCAUUGAGAUGACCCAAGAAUUUCGCUAUUUCGAUUUUGCUAGUCCUUGGGAACAGCAUAAGCGACGGAUAAUUCAGAAAGAAUCAUAA